rnacentral:misc_RNA from 1 species
GGAGACCCGACAUUGGUUUCCUCUGCCAUAUCUGCGAUUGUUAUCAAUGUUGGGCAAGUGAUAGCGAAGAUUCCUGAGCUGACUGCCAGUAAUAAUCACCCGAGUUCCUCCACUUCUGCUUCGUUGCAGUUUGCACGUUGCAUCUUACGCAUUCAUGUGACAUGUCUUUGUAUACUUAAGGAAGCUCUUGGAGAGCGUCAAAGCCGCGUCUUUGAAGUUGCUCUUGCUACAGAAACAUCCUCUGCCCUUGCACAACUUUUUGCUCCUGGAAAAGCUCCUCGGUCUCAGUUUCAG